UAGAAAGAAGGUCAACUAUUUUGGAGGAAGUACAACACAUCCAAGUGGGCCAUUUUUGGUAAGCAGAACUGGUAAUGCAGGAUGAAUUGAAAGUCGGGUUACGGUGCCAAACUGCACGCUGACCUAGAUCCCACAAAGGGUGUUGGUUGAUUAAGACAGCAUGUCGGUGAUCAUGGAAGUCGAAAUCUGCUAGGAGUAUAUAACAACUCACCUGCCGAAUCAACAAGCCCCGAAAAUGAAUGACACUUAAGUGAGCGAUGCCGUUCGUUUCUAUUUGUUACUAUUUUUA
rnacentral:ncRNA from 1 species